rnacentral:rRNA from 1 species
UUUAUGGAGAGUUUGAUCCUGGCUCAGGAUGAACGCUGGCGGCGUGCCUAAUACAUGCAAGUCGAGCGAACGGACGAGAAGCUUGCUUCUCUGAUGUUAGCGGCGGACGGGUGAGUAACACGUGGAUAACCUACCUAUAAGACUGGGAUAACUUCGGGAAACCGUAGCUAAUACCGGAUAAUAUUUUGAACCGCAUGGUUCAAAAGUGAAAGACGGUCUUGCUGUCACUUAUAGAUGGAUCCGCGCUGCAUUAGCUAGUUGGUAAGGUAACGGCUUACCAAGGCAACGAUGCAUAGCCGAC